GACGAACGCUGGCGGCGUGCUUAACACAUGCAAGUCGAACGGAGCGAAUGAAAGCUUGCUUUUAUAAGCUUAGUGGCAAACGGGUGAGUAACACGUAGGCAACCUGCCGACAGGAUGGGGACAACAUUCCGAAAGGAAUGCUAAUACCGAAUGAAGCGAAGGAGAGGCAUCUCUCCUGCGUGAAAGAUGGCCUCUAUUUAUAAGCUAUCACCUGUCGAUGGGCCUGCGUCUGAUUAGCUGGUUGGUGAGGUAACGGCUCACCAAGGCGACGAUCAGUAGCCGGUCUGAGAGGAUGAACGGCCACAUUGGGACUGAGACACGGCCCAGACUCCUACGGGAGGCAGCAGUGGGGAAUCUUCCGCAAUGGGCGCAAGCCUGACGGAGCAACGCCGCGUGAGUGAAGAAGGUCUUCGGAUCGUAAAAGCUCUGUUGAUUGGGGAACGAAACCGUGCCCUAAAUGCGAAAU
rnacentral:rRNA from 1 species